UUUGGUGGCGAUAGUGAAGAGGUCACACCCGUUCCCAUACCGAACACGGAAGUUAAGCUCUUCAGCGCCGAUGGUAGUCGGGGGUUUCCCCCUGUGAGAGUAGGACGCCGCCAAGC
rnacentral:rRNA from 1 species